CCUACGGUAGGCAGCAGUGAGGAAUAUUGGUCAAUGGGCGCUAGCCUGAACCAGCCAAGUAGCGUGAAGGAUGACUGCCCUACGGGUUGUAAACUUCUUUUAUAAAGGAAUAAAGUGCGGCACGUGUGCCUUUUUGCAUGUACUUUAUGAAUAAGGAUCGGCUAACUCCGUGCCAGCAGCCGCGGUAAUACGGAGGAUCCGAGCGUUAUCCGGAUUUAUUGGGUUUAAAGGGAGCGUAGAUGGGUUGUUAAGUCAGUUGUGAAAGUUUGCGGCUCAACCGUAAAAUUGCAAUUGAUACUGGCAGGCUUGAGUACAGUUGAGGUAGGCGGAAUUCGUGGUGUAGCGGUGAAAUGCUUAGAUAUCACGAAGAACUCCGAUUGCGAAGGCAGCUUACUAAACUGUAACUGACAUUGAUGCUCGAAAGUGUGGGUAUCAAACAGGAUUAGAUACCCGUGUAGUC
rnacentral:rRNA from 1 species